GAGUUUGAUUAUGGCUCAGGACGAACGCUGGCGGCGCGCCUAACACAUGCAAGUCGAGCGGAGAUAUGUAAGGAGUAAUCUGAGCAUAUUUUAGCGGCGGACGGGUGAGUAACGCGUGAGUGACCUGCCUCUUACAGGGGGAUAACGUAUCGAAAGGUACACUAAUACCGCAUAAGACCACAUGGCCGCAUGGCCGAGGGGUCAAAGGAGCAAUCCGGUAAGAGAUGGGCUCGCGUCCGAUUAGAUAGUUGGUGAGGUAACGGCCCACCAAGUCUGCGAUCGGUAGCCGACCUGAGAGGGUGAACGGCCACAUUGGAACUGAGAGACGGUCCAAACUCCUACGGGAGGCAGCAGUGGGGAAUAUUGGGCAAUGGGGGAAACCCUGACCCAGCGACGCCGCGUGAAGGAAGAAGGCCUUCGGGUUGUAAACUUCUGUUCUUGGUGAAGAGGGGAAGACGUAGCCAAGAGGAG
rnacentral:rRNA from 1 species